rnacentral:rRNA from 1 species
GGAAAAGAAACUAACAAGGAUUCCCCUAGUAACUGCGAGUGAAGCGGGAAGAGCUCAAAUUUAAAAUCUGGCGGCUUUUCGGUCGUCCGAGUUGUAAUCUGGAGAGGCAUUUUCCGCGUUGGACCGUGUACAAGUCUCCUGGAACGGAGCGUCAUAGAGGGUGAGAAUCCCGUUCAUGACACGGACCGCCAAUGCUCUGUGAUAUGCCUUCGAAGAGUCGCGUUGUUUGGGAAUGCAGCGCAAAAUGGGUGGUAAAUUCCAUCUAAAGCUAAAUAUUGGCGAGAGACCGAUAGCGAACAAGUACCGUGAGGGAAAGAUGAAAAGCACUUUGAAAAGAGAGUUAAACAGUACGUGAAAUUGUUGAAAGGGAAACGCUUGAAGUCAGUCGCGUUCCGUGGAACUCAGCCUUACUUCGGUUUGGUGUACUUUCCAUGUGAACGGGUCAACGUCAAUUUUGGCCGGUGGACAAAGGCAAGUGGAAUGUAGCGUCGCUUCGGUGACGUGUUAUAGCCCCUUGUUGUAUACACCGGCUAGGAUUGAGGACCGCAGCACGCCCUUGUGGCCGGGGGUUCGCCCUACGUACCGUGCUUAGGAUGUUGGCAUAAUGGCUUUAAGCGACCCGUCUUGAAACACGGACCAAGGAGUCUAACAUGCUUGCGAGUGUUCGGGUGRAAAACCCUUGCGCGUAAUGAAGGUGAAAGUUAGGAGCCCCCCUUCUGGGGGGGGGUGCACUGACGCCCGGCCCUGAAGUUCUCUGACGGUGCUGCGGUAGAGCAAGUAUGUUGGGACCCGAAAGAUGGUGAACUAUGCCUGAAUAGGGCGAAGCCAGAGGAAACUCUGGUGGAGGCUCGUAGCGAUUCUGACGUGCAAAUCGAUCGUCAAAUUUGGGUAUAGGGGCGAAAGACUAAUCGAACC